rnacentral:lncRNA from 1 species
UUUCAACACAAAAAUCAUUCAUAAAUCAAAUUUCCAAUUAUACCAUUCGAUUCCACCUUACAAGAAUUACAUGUUCAUUUCUAAACCAAUGCAUUUUCUAUACAUAAAGAAAAUAAGUUUCCAAUUGACCAUUUACAACAUUUCAUUACACAACCAUUUUAGUACAUUUUAAUUCAACACUUUCAUACAAGUUCACUCUAAUACAUGACCAUGCAUUAUAAUUGAUCAUACAUUAAUUUAACUACCUAUCACAUACACCAUUACAUCCAAUUUCUAAUCCAUUUCUAUACAUACAAAAACCCUACCAAUACAAUUCAAAUCAAAGGUCCAAAACAUGAGCAAUGCAAUUCCAAGCAAAAUCCAAUCAAAGUAUUCCAUAGCCAAUCUAAAUUUAUUGCAUUCCAUCACCCAAUAGCAAAUUCACUUCAUUGAAUUCAAUUAAAGCAUCCACCAUGGCAGCCAAUGCAUUUCAAGGCAGCCAAUGAAGAGCUUCAUAAUCUGUAGAGACAACAACUCAGUUCAAUGUCCAAACAACAAUUAACCUGCAAGUUCAAUUCAGAUCAUCACCCUUCCAACUAACCUAAAGUUACAGAAAAACCAAAUAAAACCACUACUGAAUUGAAUUUCAACCGAAUCAAAAACGGCUAACCGAAAAUCAUAAUAACCGUCCACACUUCUAACAAAAUUGGUAACAGACUUUCAACUGUCACCAACCACCAAAAAUGACACCAACCAAAAACAGAAUUCUCCAUAUUUUUCAAACCUUUCCAACUGACUUAGAAACAUAACUCAGAAUUGUCAUAACAAAUUUCUUAACCUCCUCACACCUUCAUAACAGAGUUCCU